AUUGAGCGCUGGCGGCAGGCCUAACACAUGCAAGUCGAGCGGAUGAAGGGAGCUUGCUCCUGGAUUCAGCGGCGGACGGGUGAGUAAUGCCUAGGAAUCUGCCUGGUAGUGGGGGAUAACGUCCGGAAACGGGCGCUAAUACCGCAUACGUCCUGAGGGAGAAAGUGGGGGAUCUUCGGACCUCACGCUAUCAGAUGAGCCUAGGUCGGAUUAGCUAGUUGGUGGGGUAAAGGCCUACCAAGGCGACGAUCCGUAACUGGUCUGAGAGGAUGAUCAGUCACACUGGAACUGAGACACGGUCCAGACUCCUACAGGAGGCAGCAGUGGGGAAUAUUGGACAAUGGGCGAAAGCCUGAUCCAGCCAUGCCGCGUGUGUGAAGAAGGUCUUCGGAUUGUAAAGCACUUUAAGUUGGGAGGAAGGGCAGUAAGUUAAUACCUUGCUGUUUUGACGUUACCAACAGAAUAAGCACCGGCUAACUUCGUG
rnacentral:rRNA from 1 species